CGGGGGCACGGGGGGCCUACGGGAGGCAGCAGUGGGGAAUAUUGGACAAUGGGCGGAAGCCUGAUCCAGCGACGCCGCGUGAAGGAAGGAGUCCCUCGGGAUGUAAACUUCUGAACUAGUCGAAUAAAGGGGUAGCGGACACGCUACAAGAGAAGGUAGGCUAGGAAAAGUCCCGGCUAACUACGUGCCAGCAGCCGCGGUAAGACGUAGGGGGCGAGCGUUGCCCGGAAUCACUGGGUGUAAAGGGGUUGUAGGCGGUAUACCAAGUCNCAUGUGAAAACCUUUUGCUCAACGAAAGGCUUGCGUGUGAAACUGGUAUACUUGAGCGUAGCAGAGGUAGACGGAAUUACCUGAGUAGGGGUGAAAUCCGCAGAUACAGGUAAGAACGCCGGUGGAGAAGUCGGUCUACUGGGCUACAGCUAACGCUGAGGACCGAAAGCCAGGGGAGCGAACCGGAUUAGAUACCCGGGUAGUCCUGGCAGUAAACGAUGCUCACUAGGUGUAGGGAGCGAAAGACUCUCUGUGCUGAAGCGAACGCGAUAAGUGAGCCACCUGGGGAGUACGUCCGCAAGGAUGAA
rnacentral:rRNA from 1 species